rnacentral:rRNA from 1 species
CGGGACGGGUGAGUAACGCGUGGGUAACCUGCCCUGUACACACGGAUAACAUACCGAAAGGUAUGCUAAUACGAGAUAAUAUACUUUUAUCGCAUGGUAGAAGUAUCAAAGCUUUUGCGGUACAGGAUGGACCCGCGUCUGAUUAGCUAGUUGGUGAGGUAACGGCUCACCAAGGCGACGAUCAGUAGCCGGCUUGAGAGAGUGAACGGCCACAUUGGGACUGAGACACGGCCCAAACUCCUACGGGAGGCAGCAUG